GCGAGUUAUUUAACCUCUCCAUGCAGAGUCGAACCCAGGGCUAGACAUCAGUUCCUAUUGACGAGGAAUCUGGGUUUGCAUGAGCUCGAUUCAACACACCUGGAUUACUUUCUUCACUUGGACUGAGGAAUCGCUGGGGGCUCAGAGGAGUCAAACAGCUUUCCCAAAGGCACCAGCCGGUCUCAUCCUUUGCCCUGACCUUCCAGAGGACUUGAACACGGCGGCCUGAGGCAGAGCCACAGGACCAGUUUCACCAGGAGCUGUCUCUGCAGCUAGCACAGGCUGCAGCCGUCCUCAGGAAGAAAAUGGUGACCUUGGACCAGGCUAGGGGAGUGGACACAUAGACUCGGGCACAGACAGAGGAACUUGGAGUCCAGAAGCAGCUGUGAGGGGACCCAAGGCCACCUUGGAAACAAUCAGCGUUGUCCUUCGAAGCAGUCACCGGAAGAGCCCGCAGAGCUGUUUUCACAACUGUCAGCUGAACAUAUUCCUGUACCCUCUCUGGCAACCUCAAAUAGAGUUUUCAAGCCGCCAAAGAGAGUGAGUCUCGUUACUUAGCAGAACUCAUCUUGUUUUUCCCCCAGAAGCACUGCCCCUGAUUUGAUAAUCAACCUGAUGCAAAACAUUGCACUCUCUCCUCAAAAACCAAAGCUUUGGGCCCACUGGGGCAAAUCAAAAGAAUGAGCCCCCAGCAAUUCCCAAAGAUGAACUGCUAGGGGGAUAUGGGGUGACAGCAGCACCAGUGUGGGUUUCUCAAGGCGGGUUCUCUGAUGGGGACAGUGGCAAUGUGGGGAAAGGACCUGGUCUAGGAAGUCACAGUCCCAGGGCAGGUAACCACAUCCGACACGCUGAAAUGACCAAGCCCUGAUGCAGGGCACUCACCAGAACCUUCCGCAACGUGGACAUGGCUGGGAAGGUCAGCCUCACAUCAGUGACCACCGUCGGCACCAACAGACCGUAUCUCCCCCAAAUGAGGCCCAUCAAAACCUAGCACUGGACAAAUCGGACCCCACAUCAUCCCACCAGUCAGUUUGGACCACAAAAGUUGCUGUGCAGAGAGGGUACACAACACACGCGUGCUGAAUGGGAUGGAGUCCGGGAAAGAUGAAAGGCUUAUCAUGUAUUGAUUUCAAAGUUCAACUUUUAUAACAGCAUAAAGUUAACCCUCUUCCCAACAUGGACAGUCAAGGGGGAGGACGUAAAAGGAGGCCCACCCUUUAGGUCUGACCCAAAAUGGGACUGAAAGGGCCUACAGGGGUCUCCCUGGGGCUCAAGUCCCAGCUCCGCCAUUUCCCAGCUGGGCUUACGAGUGGCUGACUAGCCACUGGGAGACAGGUCACCUACCUGUGGACAAAGGCCAUGGCCCUCCCUGACUUCCAGGAGCGGUAGUAUAUGUAAUCCAUUCAAGACAGGCCCUGGCAUGCUGUCCAGGCUCCAAAUAAAAUAAAGGAGGGGCUGCACUCCAUUGGGGAGCUUCAAACCGGCUUUCCUGGAUCUACAGCGGGUGCUGAGAUCCCCCCUCCCCACUUCUGCCUUAACCAGAACAGCUCCGCUCUUACCUCUUUUGCAUCUUGGCCUUCUACCUAAUAGCGUAUAUAAGAAAAUAUCUGAAAAUCACUGCACCAGCUAAUGCCUAGCACCUGUUCUGGCGAUGAGCUUGCUGUACAUCUAGGAUCCAGCUGGACCUCCCCUGACCUGGGUAUCUCUCCAUCCCCGUGGCCCCCGGCCCUCCCCGCCCUGCC